rnacentral:rRNA from 1 species
AGGGAGUAGCUUGCUAUGAACUGUUUUAGCGGCGGACGGGUGAGUAACGCGUGAGCAACCUUUCCCAGACAGGGGAAUAACACACCGAAAGGUGUACUAAUACCGCAUAAGACCACGGAAUCACAUGGUUCUGAGGUAAAAGAUUUAUCGGUUUGGGGUGGGCUCGCGUCCGAUUAGGUAGUUGGUGAGGUAACGGCCCACCAAGCCGACGAUCGGUAGCCGACCUGAGAGGGUGAUCGGCCACAUUGGGACUGAGACACGGCCCAAACUCCUACGGGAGGCAGCAGUGGGGAAUAUUGGGCAAUGGAGGAAACUCUGACCCAGCAACGCCGCGUGGAGGAAGAAGGUUUUCGGAUCGUAAACUCCUGUCCUUGGAGACGAGUAGAAGACGGUAUCCAAGGAGGAAGCCCCGGCUAACUACGUGCCAGCAGCCGCGGUAAUACGUAGGGGGCAAGCGUUGUCCGGAAUAAUUGGGCGUAAAGGGCGCGUAGGCGGCUCGGUAAGUCUGGAGUGAAAGUCCUGCUUUUAAGGUGGGAAUUGCUUUGGAUACUGUCGGGCUUGAGUGCAGGAGAGGUUAGUGGAAUUCCCAGUGUAGCGGUGAAAUGCGUAGAGAUUGGGAGGAACACCAGUGGCGAAGGCGACUAACUGGACUGUAACUGACGCUGAGGCGCGAAAGUGUGGGGAGCAAACAGGAUUAGAUACCCUGGUAGUCCACACUGUAAACGAUGAAUGCUAGGUGUAGGGGGUAUCGAUCCC